rnacentral:tRNA from 1 species
GGUGGGGUCAGCUAACAAAGCUUUCGGGCCCAUACCCCGAAAAUGAAGGUUAGACCCCUUCCCCCGCCA